rnacentral:ribozyme from 1 species
ACGAUGAAUAUCAUUAAUAUAAGUAUAAUAAAUGAUAGUAAUUAACGAAGCAACACAAUAAUAAACACCAUGAUGAACAAUUUUUUUUUUUUUUUUUUAUUACAUAUCUCU